GGGUUGUGAGGUUAAGCGACUAAGCGUACACGGUGGAUGCCCUGGCAGUCAGAGGCGAUGAAGGACGUGCUAAUCUGCGAUAAGCGCCGGUAAGGUGAUAUGAACCGUUAUAACCGGCGAUUUCCGAAUGGGGAAACCCAGUGUGACUCGUCACACUAUCAUUAACUGAAUCCAUAGGUUAAUGAGGCGAACCGGGGGAACUGAAACAUCUAAGUACCCCGAGGAAAAGAAAUCAACCGAGAUUCCCCCAGUAGCGGCGAGCGAACGGGGAGGAGCCCAGAGCCUGAAUCAGCAUGUGUGUUAGUGGAAGCGUCUGGAAAGGCGCGCGAUACAGGGUGACAGCCCCGUACACAAAAGCGCAUAUGCUGUGAGCUCGAUGAGUAGGGCGGGACACGUGGUAUCCUGUCUGAAUAUGGGGGGACCAUCCUCCAAGGCUAAAUACUCCUGACUGACCGAUAGUGAACCAGUACCGUGAGGGAAAGGCGA
rnacentral:rRNA from 1 species